AACUGUACUUCUCUGUGGAUCUUUCCAAAGUCCUUGCUUACUUGUAUUUAUCUAUGUACCAGCUCUACAAGGAAGGCAUAAUCCCAACUCUCCAGCAUUAGUUAGGAGGAGCAAUGGAUGAGGAAAUUGGAUAAAAUGAUCAUUUAGCUAAAGAAGAUGUCCGCUUAGAGUGAUUAACUGUUUAGAAUCGUUGCAUAAAUGACAAUCAUACUGACCUAAGUUCUCAACUUCCUUUCUUCAUUGUCAUUUUCAGUGUGCAUAGUAAGGUCGGGAUGAACAAUUUCUGAGCUUUGUUUGCAAGUUUAGGCUUCAGUAUCUGUACAUGAAGGUAGGAAAAAAUUCAAUUAAUCAGUCAUAUCUCCAUUUUUAGAAGGUAGAGUGAUGGAAAGUCUUCCCUUGUGUCUCAGCAAAGGUACUGGAAAGGCCAACUUGGCUUGUUGAUUUGGAGAAUAUCUGGUUAAUGGAUAGUUAUGUACUGUUGAAGGGGACACUCCUCUGGUACACUAUUGCAUGCCUGGAAUUCCAUGGUAUUCUUUGUGAUGUCACUAGUGUUAUGGAAACAGAAGCUGCCCUUGUGGUAUUUUGUUAAUGCUUAUUGUUUUAGACACAGACAUGUUUUCUAGGAUUAACGAGUUAUUUACAGGAAAAACAGAGUGCAUGGAGAGAUGAGAGGGAAAAAAAUGAUAUUAGGACUUCUUUCUUGUUAUAAAUAUGCAAAAUAAAUAAUCUGGUGUAAAGCAGAGAGAGUAAGCCCUGAGCCAGUACUGGGGAACUUCCUGGAGAAGCUGUGCUUGGGUCAGACCUUCUAGGAGCAGGACUUAUGGUCUGAAACAUCUGGACUUUUAAAGAAGGGACCAAGCGUCAAGAAUAUCUGAUGAAUAUUUGGCAGACAGCCAGAAAUUGACAAGCAUGCAGUUAGUUUGCUAUGAGUUCCUUAAUUUCACUCUGAAUGAGAAAGAUAUCCAAUAGGAGCCACACAGAUAAAUCUUCGACUCUCAGGGGUCUGCUGGGAAGGCAUCAUGCCAACCUUCCACCAUCAAUGAGCAAGUUCAGCAGAUUAAGAAGUAGGAGAAACUGACUAUUGAGCUCAAGAAGAAAACCUCUAUGGAGAUUUUCUUGUUGACUGGGCUCAUAGCUUCAGACCUGAAGUCAGGGAUAAUAUGGACAAUGGAGAUCCAUUUGAAAGAAGCUGCUUACCUUUGAGGAACAGGGAAACAGUGAGCAAGAGUAAGAUGUUUGUCCACCACCUGAUCCCUUGCUGAGAACAAAGUCUCCUCUUCACAGCCUGAAAACUGGGCAGGCUGGGUAAGCAGGCAUAGCUAACAAGCCAAUCCAAUUGUGUAAAUAUUUGUACAUAUACAGGGUAUAAAGGGAGAGCAUUUCAUUGACUAAGUUGAAUAUAAACACUGUCCACUAUUUUCUUAUCACAUGAAAGGAAACUUUGGUGGAUUUUGUCUAUCCUGGGUCCACAAAGAUCAAUUCUCACUAUCAUUGCCAUUUCUUCCCUGGUAGGACCCUUAAGAGAACUGAGAGAGUCAGAGAAAGACAGACAACAAUAAUCUACAUUGUAGAGAUCAAGGCUAUCUCAUAAGAAACACUUCUUCGUGGCUGUGAAUUCAGCAGAGGGAAAUUGCAACCAACGCUUGGUAAUGCAGCUGAUAUCUGGUAUACAGACUCAUUGACUAACUGUUCUAUUGGAGAAAGGAAGCAUCAAAAUUUAGCAUGAGACCAAAAAAAAAAAAUACUAAAAUGAGUCAGAACUCUGAUACAUGUAGUAAGUGUUCCCAGUGUGGGUCACAAAUAACAUGAAGGAUAUAUGUUUGAUCUAGAGUUACUCUGUUGGAGUCCUCACAUUUCAUAUGUACUUGAAAAUCUGUCACAGCAAACUAUAUUGAUAUCAUAUGCUAGUCCGAGAGACCAUACCCAAAAGUAUAUAAUUCCUUCUGAAAUACAGUGUUGAAAAUACUGCACAUCACACAUUUGUAUGUAAGGCUAAAAUUAAUGUUCUACCUAGAUAAAAGCAUUCUCUCAAUCCUUAUCUAAGUAACUUGUUUGUUUUUUUUUUCCGUUUGGAAAAUGGCUGAGUAUUCUUCAGUUCCAAACAUGAACUGAAGUGACUCUUCCUCAGACUGUACACAUAGUGGACAUCUGAGUAGUAAUUGACAUUUUUAGCCAGUUGGGUCUCCCCAAGGGUCUUUUAGGCAUGAAUAAGCAUGUAUAGCCAUAUUUUAGCCAAGGGAUUCAUGUAGUAGCCUAAAUAUUACAGGAUUCCUCUGCUGUAAAUAAUUUUCUUUUACACAGGUGAUGGAAGGUGUAUCAAAGGCUGAGUAUCAAACGUUGUAGAUAUUACACCAUCUGUAGAUGAUAAUAUACCAAGGAGAAUCCCUUAGGAUUACACUGAUUGAUCUAGAUACUCCCACAUGAUUCUAAUACAGAACAAGAAAUCACUUGGCUAGGAAACUUACAAUAAUAUAGUGCUGCGGAGCUAUGUGGAGUGUUAAUAGAUAAUGAGAAACCACCUAAAAAGCACAGGCAUAUGUACAAGAUGCUAUUCAAAAAUUAUCCAGAGGCAGUUUGGCAACCUACAUUCAGCACAAAAUGAUUGAUUCUUCACUUCAUAGAUUCUGAUCAGGUAAAUUGAAUAUUGAGAAAGCUAUAUGAGAACUCACUUGGUUAUCACAUGACUGUACAACUAGGUAGUCUCAACAGACAUGUCAAUCAGGAAGCAUAGCCUGAACUUGCCAACAAUGGAUGAAGUGCAUUUAGCUGAUGAGGUCUGACCAUGAAACUCAAAUUUCCAAAAUACCAGGUAGGUUUGAAUUUGCAGAACAAUAAAUACUUCAUGAGUUUUGGGGCAAAAUUCUAUUCUAAAGACUCCAAAAAUUAUUUAUCAACCAGCUCUUAAUCCCUAUGGAGAGAUUAAUUGUAGAAAUAAUGAAUUUAAUCUGUACCCCAGAGGUAUAAAUAAUUGGUGCAAUUUGAAGUGAUUUGAUAUGUUAAAGAAACAUGCAAAACAAAAGAGUUCAGGGUAUCCUUGAACAGAUUUGCUUCUAAAACAUGUAGCACGAGUUACUGUGGAAUGACCUAGACACAUACAUGCACAUAUCCUACAAUUAAUUGAUUUGUUCUGUUCUGUGUGUGGUAUGCCAGACUAAUCCAAGGUAGGAAGUAUAUAAUGCACAAGUAUUUUAAACCCAAUAUCAAUGAAAAGAAAUCAGAAUUCCUCUUGUGAAUGCCAUCCUAGAUGAGUUAAUCCAGAUCAAAAAGGAAAAUUGAGUUACAUAUUCACUUUAAUCUAAAUGUUAAUUCUCUAAACUGUGUAUCUGUAUGAUCACUUUUGUGUAAGUGUCUAGUAUGAACCAGACCGUCCUUAUUUUGAAAAGUGCAAGUGUACUUAUGUAUUGCUGAAAGACACAGUCAGGAACAGGAAUAUCAAAUGUGAAGAGACAGGGAAAAGAGCAACAAUGAAGGGAAUGUAGUACAUACAGUUAAAUUGAGAGACAUUUGAGGCAUUGAAUGGAAAACUAAUGGAGUAGAAAAUUUUUUUUUAAAUUUUUAUCAAGUAAUUAAACAUUUGCUAUAGUUAAAAGGGCAGAAGAUAAAAUAUUGAAUGGGUUUAUCUAUAUGAAAUUCGAUAAUAAUAAGUCACAACAAUUUUGGAUUUCAACUUUUAGUAAACCUAUGUUACAAAUACUGACUGUAUAGUCAUUAAGGAGAGAGAUGUUAACAUACAUAUCUUAUAUUGUUGGAAACAUACAUAUCUUAUAUUAUAAACACUGGAAGUGUAAAAUAAUAUAUGUAUUUGUUUACAUUUCAAAGUCAUUUCCCAAACUCUUCUUUCUGUCUUGAAUCCUCCAAGCCUUUCCGAUUCUCUUUGUUUCUAUGAUGGUGCUCCUCCAUCUACAUGGCCACUUCACUUUAGCCAUCUAACAUCCUCCUUCUCUGGGGUAUGACAUUUCCACAAAACCAAUUGCCUUCCUUUCCAGAGAUGGCAGAUGAGGCAGUUGUCUUCUCCCUGUGCUUUACUGUCUGCAUAGCAGUAUCCAUGUACUGGCCAAGUAUACUCUUGUUGGUA